rnacentral:rRNA from 1 species
UACGGAGGGUGCGAGCGUUAAUCGGAAUUACUGGGCGUAAAGCGCACGCAGGCGGUUUGUUAAGCUAGAUGUGAAAGCCCCGGGCUCAACCUGGGACGGUCAUUUAGAACUGGCAGACUAGAGUCUUGGAGAGGGGAGUGGAAUUCCAGGUGUAGCGGUGAAAUGCGUAGAUAUCUGGAGGAACAUCAGUGGCGAAGGCGACUCCCAGGCCAAAGACUGACGCUCAUGUGCGAAAGUGUGGGUAGCGAACAGG